CAUAAGAUUUCCUUUUCCCACAGAAAUCUUACAUUUGCAGUGAUGUUACUACUGCAAGGGAUUCUUGGUGGGCUUAUGCAAACUCAGCUGUGUAUGUUGGUCACAUUUAUGGUUUUGCACUAUUUUUUUUCUUAAGCUCUUUACACUUUGGUUUUGUAAGUCUUAUGGCUUGACUGGUGUGUGCAGAUCUGUGCUUAACAGUGUAUUGACUAUCCACUGACUUCAGGUGGAAAUGCUUUCAUUCACUUUUUUCUCCACCAUAACUUUUUUGGUUUAUAUAUACAUCACAAGCAAAUCCAUUCCAGGACACUCAUGAUACACAUUGUGGCGCCUGGUUGCACUUUGUAUGAG